rnacentral:lncRNA from 1 species
AUAAGUUCAAGUUCAACUUGAUACAGGUUAAUUUACAUAUCAUUGGCUUUUUUAAUAAGCAGAAAGUGUCUUUUUGCAAUUGAACCUAAAUUUAAUCUUGAAGAUGUUAAAACCCAUUGAUAAAUCACUCUUAAGUAUAUCGUCAUCAUUUACAUGAUUACACCGUGUUACUGUCUCUAAAGUGUACACAUAGACCGAAAAAAGGGGAAGAAAACUUUGUGCUUUAUCCAUGUUCUUUUAACACUUAGGUAGAUCUUAUAACCCAAACAGAAACAAAACAAAUAUAGGAGUAAGUAAUUGAUUGCAUUUGUAGAUAUACCUUUAGGUUUCUUUCUUAAGUAUGUUUACAUAUAAAUCAAAUAACACGAGAAAAACUAAGGCCCUCUUUUUUUCCUUGAAUAUAAUGAGUUUCAACUUUUCUGCUUCAAACCGACAAAAAAUACAUUAAUAGGUAGUAAUUAUGGUCAUCAUUUUAGUAAUCUUUUUUCCCGCUAACCAAGCCAAAAUGUUUAUAAAUUCAUGUAUAAACUUAUUUACAGUUUAUAGUGGAAAGAUUCUGGGAUUUGAUCUAAUACUGUGCUUUGGAAGUACAGAUUAGCUCUUCCCACAUUCAAAUCAAAAGAUAUUUGCUCAUGUCCCUAAAUUAACCACUUAAUCUUAUCUAUUUUUCAGUUAUUUUGUUCCGUCACUUUUCUACAUAGCAAUGCAGGAGGUUAAAAAUUAAGGCAAGAGAUCCAAAUAAACAAGCUAACGCAGCAAUAGAAGUCCAACAUAAAUGACAGCUUUAGUAGAAUGUCGUAUAUAAUUAUUAACACCUUAUUUAAGUACUUCCAUUAAAAGAAAAACCAGAUACAUCCAUAUAAAUAACAACAAAAAUUAAUACUUUUGGCUCUACACAUCCAAUCUCUUCAGAAACAAUUGCAAACAUCUGUGUGAAGUAUCAGUAUCAAUUAUACAGCGAGAAACAUAAAAUGCAGUCACCAUUUUCACCAAAGAAUGCGGUUUUAAUAACUUCUGCCACUAUCCAUCACCAAAAAAAACCAUUCUUGAAUCAGUUUAUAUAACGGUAACUACACAAAUCGAGUGUUCAUAAUUCAGAUACAUCAUCAUAAAUUCUACCGAUAUCCAAGCAGCACAUGUCCUUAAAAAAACAUCUCUUGUCCAAACAGACACAGAUAUAAAGCAUACAUUAAACAACGAGAAUUCAUGGCAUUCAACAAAAAAAACCAUCUAUCUCUUCAUAACCAAGAACAAAAUCAAGCUAUUACACGAUUAAUAAGUGGGCAAGAACAGAAUUCAGCAAAACCAUAUACUGCAUCAUCAUCAUAAGUCUAAUCCANUGCAGAUGAAAAAUUACGAGGUUGAGUUGAUAGAAAAGAAUGCAAAUGAUUUACUUACAAAGCCAUUUCCUAAAGAUCAAGAGCACGAUCUUGAAGUCCUCGUGAUUGAGACAUAUAUAACUAAAAAAAAGUUACAAGUUCAAACUGGAGAGAAUCGCUAAGUAAUUCUAGAACAAUUGGAUGAACACUUGACAGUUGACAUUGCUGAAAAAUACCCUGGAUUUCUACUUAUAUAACAUAGAUGGAAAAGGAAAAACAAGAGUAACAAUCCAGUUCAAUCAAAAAAAUACUAAGUUUAGUGAUCUCUAUAUUCAAGGAAUAAAAUAGAUAACAUAUAAAGAAAAAAAAGGCUAAUGUAAAUAUUAAAAUAUAAAGAACCCAGUCAAGUGUAGUAGCACAUGCUCGAUAAAGGCAUAGAGGUAAACCGUCAAGGGCCUGAUAACAACUUCGUCACAAACAUAAACAUGUCCAACAAGAAAACCACUUAUUUUAGGUAUAUAAAGUCAGUUUCAUAAAAGGAGAAACUAUAGGAUCUUCAUGAUAAGUUCAAGUUCAACUUGAUACAGGUUAAUUUACAUAUCAUUGGCUUUUUUAAUAAGCAGAAAGUGUCUUUUUGCAAUUGAACCUAAAUUUAAUCUUGAAGAUGUUAAAACCCAUUGAUAAAUCACUCUUAAGUAUAUCGUCAUCAUUUACAUGAUUACACCGUGUUACUGUCUCUAAAGUGUACACAUAGACCGAAAAAAGGGGAAGAAAACUUUGUGCUUUAUCCAUGUUCUUUUAACACUUAGGUAGAUCUUAUAACCCAAACAGAAACAAAACAAAUAUAGGAGUA